AACGAACGCUGGCGGCAGGCUUAGCACAUGCAAGUCGAACGCGUGUAGCAAUACACGAGUGGCGCACGGGUGAGUAACGCGUGGAUAUCUGCCUUUUUGGUUCGGAAUAACCCCGGGAACGUGGGGCGUAAUACCGGAGUGGUUCCGUACGGGAGUAAAGAAUUUAUCGCCAAAAGAAUGAGUCCGCGUACGAUUAGCUAGUUGGUGAGGUAAUGGCUCACCAAGGCGACGAUCGUUAGCNGGUCUGAGAGGACGAUCAGCC
rnacentral:rRNA from 1 species